UCUUCCGUAGUAUAGUGGUCAGUAUGUGAGCUUGUCACCUUCACUGAGGAAGACUUCGCUCAAGACCCGGGUUCAAUUCCCGGCGGGAGAG